UACGAAGGGGGCUAGCGUUGUUCGGAAUUACUGGGCGUAAAGCGUGCGCAGGCGGUUAUGUAAGACAGUUGUGAAAUCCCCGGGCUCAACCUGGGAAUUGCAUCUGUGACUGCAUAGCUAGAGUACGGUAGAGGGGGAUGGAAUUCCGCGUGUAGCAGUGAAAUGCGUAGAUAUGCGGAGGAACACCGAUGGCGAAGGCAAUCCCCUGGACCUGUACUGACGCUCAUGCACGAAAGCGUGGGGAGCAAACAGG
rnacentral:rRNA from 1 species